UUACCUGGUUUGAUCCUGCCAGUAGUCAUAUGCUUGUCUCAAAGAUUAAGCCAUGCAUGUCUAAGUACAGGCCGAAACAAGGCGAAACCGCGAAUGGCUCAUUAAAUCAGUUAUGGUUCAUUGGAUCUUACCUUGUUUUACUUGGAUAACUGUGGUAAUUCUAGAGCUAAUACGUGAUACCCCAGCUCCGACCGCAAGGAAAGAGCGCUUUUAUUAGAUCAAAACCAAUCGGGCUUCGGUCCGUUCUCACUGUGGUGACUCUGAAUAACUUUGAGCUGAGCGCAUGGUCUUCGAACCGGCGCCAUAUCCUUCAAGUGUCUGCCUUAUCAGCUUUCGAUUGUAGGUUAUGCGCCUACAAUGGCUAUAACGGGUAACGGGGAAUCAGGGUUCGAUUUCGGAGAGGGAGCCUGAGAAACGGCUACCACAUCUAAGGAAGGCAGCAGGCACGCAAAUUACCCACUCCCGGCCCGGGGAGGUAGUGACGAAAAAUAACGAUGCGGGACUCUUCCGAGGCCUCGCAAUCGGAAUGAGCACACUUUAAAUCCUUUAACGAGGAUCUAUUGGAGGGCAAGUCUGGUGCCAGCAGCCGCGGUAAUUCCAGCUCCAAUAGCGUAUAUUAAAGUUGCUGCGGUUAAAAAGCUCGUAGUUGGAUCUCAGUUCCGGACCGACGGUUCACCGCCCGGUGCUUACUGUCGGCUUCCGAACAGCCGCACGCCGGCUCGGCCAGGGUGCUCUUCAUCGAGUGUCCUGGUUUCGGCCGGCACGUUUACUUUGAAAAAAUUAGAGUGCUCAGCGCAGGCUGCAACGCCUGAAUAAUCUGUGCAUGGAAUAAUGGAAUAGGACCUCGGUUCUAUUUUGUUGGUUUUCGGAACCCGAGGUAAUGAUUAAUAGGAACUGUCGGGGGCAUUCGUAUUGCGACGUUAGAGGUGAAAUUCUUGGAUCGUCGCAAGACGGACUACUGCGAAAGCAUUUGCCAAGAAUGUUUUCAUUAAUCAAGAACGAAAGUUAGAGGUUCGAAGGCGAUCAGAUACCGCCCUAGUUCUAACCAUAAACGAUGCCAACCAGCGAUCCGCCGGCGUUAUUCCCAUGACUCGGCGGGCAGCUUCCGGGAAACCAAAGUCUCUGGGUUCCGGGGGAAGUAUGGUUGCAAAGCUGAAACUUAAAGGAAUUGACGGAAGGGCACCACCAGGAGUGGAGCCUGCGGCUUAAUUUGACUCAACACGGGGAACCUCACCAGGCCCGGACACCGGUAGGAGGGACAGAUUGAGAGCUCUUUCUCGAUUCGGUGGGUGGUGGUGCAUGGCCGUU
rnacentral:rRNA from 1 species